rnacentral:lncRNA from 1 species
AGAACAAAGGAAGAAAAGGAAGAACAAAACCCUAGGUGGAAAAAUUCAAGGAAAAAGUGUGAAAAUUCAAGGAAACAAGUGAAAAAAAAGGUAAGAUUUUUCAAUUAAGCUUGAGAUCUCUCUUUCUUAAGCAUUUUUUCUUAUUUUCCAUGGUUGAAUCACAUGAAAUCAUGAUGGGUCUCUUGCUGGCCAAACACUUAGAGAGAGAUUUUGAUGGUUGAUUUGGUUAGAUUUUAAGAUAUUUUAGUGUUUUUAG